rnacentral:lncRNA from 1 species
CAAUUUUUUUUAAGGUAAAAGGUACAAAUAUACCUCCAAACUUUAAUAAAUAUUAUAAAUAUAUUCUUCGUUAUAUUUUGAAUACAAAUAUAUUUUUAUCGUUAAUGAAAAGAUAUAAAUAUACAAUUAUCACUAACAGCGAGACAAUUUCACGUCCGUAUUUGUUGGACCUUUUUUCUAUUUAUUUUAACCUCAUUUAAUUAAAACAAAUCGUAAUUAAAUUCAUACUUGGACCUAAUUUACCCGACCCGAUCCGUUAGAGAAGCUUCAUGACACGCAUCUAUAUCUCCAAACAUAAUACAGACGCGUCUCUCUCACUCUCUCAAAACACCCUAACGAAAAAUCCUCAUUCUUGCUUUCCACAAAGCCGAAACUCAUGUCUCGAGUUGACAGUAGCCUCUCUUGAAGAGAUGAUCAAGGAAUCACAGAUAAAAUAUUCUCUUGCCGGAAAACAAUCAUUUUUCUCAUCCUUAAAACCAUCAAAAGAUAAUCUUUUUUUUUUUUUUGGUUUUAUAUUUUCUAUCUGCAUCCUGUUUCUUGCUUACUGUAUUUUAGUUGGUAAAAUUUUGAUCUUUGAAGACAGUUUUAAGAAGUUUUAGAUAUAGAAUAGUGUAUUGUGUUUGGAGAAGAAACGAUUAAAUGAAAGCAACAAUGAGGAUUUUUUGUUAGGGUUUGAGAGAGUGAAAGAGACGCUGUUGUAUUGUGUUUGGAGAUACAGACGCAUCUCAUGAAGCUUCUGUAAUAGAACGGGUCGGGUCGGAUUGGCUAAAUUAUGUCUAAGUAUGGAUUUAAUUAGGAUUUGUUUUAAUUAAUUAGGGUUAAAAUAAAUUAAAAAGGCCCCACGAAUAUGGACAUGACAAGUGUUCUGUCGUUAGUGAUAAAGAUAUAUUUGUAUCUUUUCAGGCAAUGGUAUAUUUGUACAAAAUAUGAUGAAGGGUAUUAUUUAUACUAUUUAUUAAAGUUUGAGAAUAUAUUUGUACCUUUUUCAUUUUUUUAACUUCGGAUAUAGAUUGAUAGCAGCGUUAUAGUAUUUGUAAUUUUGCCAAUUUAAUACUUUAAUUUUAGAAAAAAUUAUGCAAUAUAUAUAAUGAGAUGAAUUAUUUAUACAAAAAAUAUUCACUUUUUUUCCAACUGAAAAAGUGAAAAUGGCCAAGCAGUCAUGUUUCUUACCCAAAUUGGCCACUCGGUACGAAUUACUGGCAACGGCAGCCAUUUUGUCAUAGCCAUUUGCGCCCCCUCCCCUCCUCACCCCACCUUUUUUUUAAGAUUUUAAAAAACUUUUAAAUUGUUUUGUUUUUGGGCAUUGCUAUUAAACAAAAAAUAUAUUGCU